GUUAAUGUAGCUUAAAUUAUACAAAGCAAGGCACUGAAAAUGCCUAGAUGAGUUUUUUACUCCAUAAACA
rnacentral:tRNA from 3 species